GACGAACCGAGCGAACGUUGUUCGGAAUCACUGGGCUUAAAGGGCGCGUAGGCGGGCGAUCAAGUCAGGGGUGAAAGCCCCCAGCUCAACUGGGGAAGUGCCUCUGAUACUGAUCGUCUCGAGGGGGAUAGGGGCGUGCGGAACUUCCGGUGGAGCGGUGAAAUGCGUAGAUAUCGGAAGGAACACCGGUGGCGAAAGCGGCGCGCUGGAUCCCUUCUGACGCUGAGGCGCGAAAGCCAGGGGAGCAAACGGG
rnacentral:rRNA from 1 species